UAGAACCCCACGUACUCCAAGCCUUAGAAAACUAUCGAAUCCUAUCUCAAUCAAAAUCGGAUCUGGCUCAUAAUUUCAAAUUGGGUUUGGCCAUAUUUUCUACAAGGAGCUAUGUAUGGAGAGUAUUGGAGAUUUAGAAGGAAUCGAUUUUGGUGAUACUUGGAGACGAAAAUCUCUGAGGCUUUUGCUGCUGAGAUUCACAAAGGUUAUUUCCUACAAAUUCAAGGUUAUUCUUAAUGGAUAAGAGUUGGAUAAAUAU